rnacentral:rRNA from 1 species
UGUAAAGUUCAAGCUCCGAUUUGUGAGGGCGAAACCGCGAAUGGCUCAUUAAAUCAGUCAUAAUCUACUUGAUUGUUUAAGUUUAUAUGGAUAACUGUGGUAAUUCUAGAGCUAAUACAUGCGCGAAGGGGGCGACUUUGCGAAAAGAAGCCUUGCGUUUAUUAGACUAAGACCGGCGGACGUCGCAAGACGUUCUCAAUCGGUGGUGACUCUGAGUAAAUAACGGGUGCAAGCCCGUGUUGCCGACCUGGCAUCUAAACGGUCCUCACGGAUCGGCCAGGCGAAUCAAUCGAGUGUCUGCUCUAUCAACUGUGGAUGGUAGGGUAAUUGCCUACCAUGGUGGUGACGGGUAACGGGGAGUUAGGGCUCGACUCCGGAGAACAAGCCUGAGAAACGGCUAGUAGGACUAAGGUCUGCAGCAGGCGCGAAACUUACACAAUGCUAGAUUUCUAAAAAAUAGCGAUGUAGUGAAGAAAAAUAACGAUGUGCUUGCUUUUAAACAAGCUUGCACAAUUGGAAUGAGACGACUCUAAACCGGUCAGUCGAGUAACAAAUGGAGGGCAAGUCUGGUGCCAGCAGCCGCGGUAAUUCCAGCUCCAUUAGCAUACAUUAAAGUUGUUGCGGUUAAAAAGCUCGUAGUUGAAUUUUUAGCGGGUCUCUGGGUGGCGGGGCCGUCAAGGGGUUCAGUAACUUCGGUUCUAGCCCUGGUCUCGUUCGCCGUUGAGGCGCGUUGUUUCGUCACUUAAUCGAGUGCGAAGCGGGUCGGCGAUUGGCUAACUUCGGUUGUCAGCGACGACAUGUUUACCUUGAGAAAAUUAGAGUGCUCAGAGCAGGCAGUUGGGGUGUAAAAGCCCCUUUAUGCUUGAAUAAUGUUGCAUGGAAUAAUAGAAUACGGCCUCGGUUCUAUUCUGUUGGUCUUAUAGAACAACAAACAAGUCGGUUUGGGCGCAAACGGCUUCGAUUUGGUGUGGUCGCUUGUGAGCUUGUUGUCUGGGGCCUUAAAAUCUCAGUACCCUCUUGCAAGUAGCCGUAAAAGCACCUUUUCAAAGUCAGCCCGAUUUCCGGCUGAGGCAAUGGUUAAAAGAAAUAGUCGCGGCGGCAUCAGUACUGCAUCGUGAGAGGUGAAAUUCUUAGACCGAUGCAAGACUAACUGAAGCGAAAGCGUUUGCCGAGGAUAUUUUCAUUAAUCAAGAACGAAAGUUAGAGGUUCGAAGGCGAUCAGAUACCGCCCUAGUUCUAACCAUAAACGUUGCCAACUAGCAAUUGGAUUGCGAUUCCUUUAGUUGGAGCCUAAAAAACUCCAACCAUUAUGAUCCAUCCAGCGGCUCUCGUAGGGAAACCAAAGUGUUUGGGUUCCGGGGGAAGUAUGAUUGCAAAGUUGAAACUUAAAGGAAUUGACGGAAGGGCACCACCAGGAGUGGAGCCUGCGGCUUAAUUUGACUCAACACGGGGAAACUUACUAGAUUAGAACUCUGGAAUGAUUGACAGAUUGAUAGCUCUUUCUUGAUUCAGAGGAUGGUGGUGCAUGGCCGUUCUUGAUUCGUAUUCCGAAACGUCUGCCUAAUCGCGAUAACGAGUGAGACCUCUCCACGCAAACUAGUUGCUUGGUGCGCUGUGGGACGCAAAAGUUCGCAGUUGGGUUCUCGUCAGGUGGGGCAACCUGCUUGGCUCCCCAGUUGUGGAUGUCCUCUGCUCGCCAGCAGACUUCUCUGCGGGAUCAUGAGCAAAAAGCUCAGAGAGACGAGGCAAUAACAGGUCUGUGAUGCCCUUAGAUAUUCUAGGCCGCACGCGUGCUACAAUGGCGUGUGCAGAAAGCUUGUUCGAGCUUCGUCCAUAGACGGCUAGUCGUUUGGGCUGGAUGGGGGCAACCUUGUUUAGUUCGGCGGCCAAGUGGCUACGGUAACGGGGCGAGAGAAACCGCAGUCGAGAGAUUGCGGCAAUCAUAAAUACACGCCGUGAUUUGGGAUUGGGGAUUGCAAUUGUUGCCCAUGAACGAGGAAUUCCCAGUAAGCGCGAUUCAUCAUAUCGCGCUGAUUACGUCCCUGCCCUUUGUACACACCGCCCGUCGCUACUACCGAUUGGAAGUUUUAGUGAGGCAUCUGGACUUGCUGGCCAGGAGACGGGCAACCGUCUCAGGCCUGGCGGGGAAGUUUGUCGAACUCAAAUUUCUAGAGGAAGUAAAAGUCGUAACAAGGUUUCCGU